ACGGAAGGCAGCAGUGGGGGAUAUUGGACAAUGGGGGAAACCCUGAUCCAGCGACGCCGCGUGAGUGAAGAAGUAUUUCGGUAUGUAAAGCUCUAUCAGCAGGGACGAAAAAGCGCAAGCAUUGACGGUACCUGACUAAGAAGCCCCGGCUAACUACGUGCCAGCAGCCGCGGUAAUACGUAGGGGGCAAGCGUUAUCCGGAUUUACUGGGUGUAAAGGGAGCGUAGGCGGCGAAGCAAGUCAGAUGUGAAAUCCCGGGGCUCAACCUCGGUGCUGCAUUUGAAACUGUUUUGCUAGAGUGUCGGAGAGGUAAGUGGAAUUCCUAGUGUAGCGGUGAAAUGCUUAGAUAUUAGGAAGAACACCAGUGGCGAAGGCGGCUUACUGGACGAUAACUGACGCUGAGGCUCGAAAGCGUGGGGAGCAAACAGGAUUAGAUACCCUGGUA
rnacentral:rRNA from 2 species